rnacentral:rRNA from 1 species
UUAAACGGCCGCGGUAUCCUAACCGUGCAAAGGUAGCGUAAUCACUUGUCCCCUAAAUAGGGACUAGUAUGAAUGGUUAAAUGAGGAUAGACCUGUCUCUCAUGGAAAAUCAGUGAAACUGAACUCCCAGUACAAAUGCUGGAAUAUACACACAAGACGAGAAGACCCUGCGGAGCUUUUAAACAACCCUCAAACAAUAAAUUGAGCACGAGUUUUCAGUUGGGGCGACUUCGGAACAAAACCAAGCUUCCGAGCAUAAGAGACCAUCUCUCGCAGCGGCUAACAAGCCAAAGCACUAAAAUAAUGACCCGGGUAAAAACCCGAUUAACGAACCAAGUUACCCCAGGGAUAACAGCGCUAUCUUCUUUUAGAGUCCAUAUCAACAAGUAAGGCUUACGACCUCGAUGUUGGAUCAGGACAC